GGGACAGUCAGGCGGAGGGGCCUCGGGGCAUAAGGCAGGGGUUGGGGAGAGGCAGCCAGGUGCUGGAGAAGUAACAUGGUCUUGGGAGUCAGAUCUGGCUUCAAAUCCUGGCUCCUUUACAUUUUUACUGUUUGGCCUUAAGCAAAUUAGUCAGUGUCUCUGAGUCUAUUUUUUCAUCUGUAAAUGGGCCUAUAAGAGUGUCUAGUUAGUAGAAUUGUAAGGACUAAAUACACUCAGAGGCCAGCAGAUAAGAGCUGCUUGGUAAAUACUAGUUAUUAUUAACAUCAUUAUUCCCAUUUAGUCUUUUCAUUCACAUAAAGGGACCCUCUCCAUUAGGGGACAGGGCCCAGGAAAGGGCUUCGAGGGUCUGGCUCUGCCCAGUAACAAAAGGGGGCCUUGUCAGUGCCACCUAGGGAUGGUCUAAGCCAGCCUGCCUACAGGAGGCAGCUGCUGGGGCAUGGUACCCAGCUCACCCCAAAGGCACCCUCUGAAGUAGGCAGGCACACAGGUACAGGCAGGUGGUCUGGGGCCCCAGAGGCCCCUAGAUGCGUGCAUGCCCAGCUCCAGUGAGGGUGCCAGAGACAGGCCAGGUAUGUGAGAAUCAGCCUAGACCCACCAAGUCCCCCACCCCCAGGGAAACUUGUAGAUGAGAGUUGACCCUCAUGCCUACUUGCUGGAUUCUUCCUGGGAGCUGAUGAUAAUGUGCUGAAAGCCACUGGGCAGGGAAUCAGGAGACAGAGUUCCCACCCUAGUUCUGUGACCCAGGCAAGGUUUUUGCCUGCUGUGGCCCUGCUGGGCUCACUUUUACAGGCAGGAGUCCACUGGGGGUGCUAUGAGCACUGGCCCGAGGGGCUGCUUUUCUAGGGUGGGGCCUGGGGGGAUUUCUAGCUUAGAAGCAGCCAGGAAAUGCGCUUGCCAAGUCGGAGGACAUGGAGGCUUCUGGAGCCCUCCCAUUUGCGCUGCAUCCUUGCUGCUUCCCACUAAUGAGCCCUGGACAGGGCACAUCCUGUCUCUUCCAGGAACUGCCUUUGUACCCUUCUGCUGCCUACCCUGCUACAUCUUCAUCCUGAGCUAAGUGCUGGCCCGGGACCUCCUGGGCUCAGGUUCCUGCGUGUCUGCUGCUUCCCUUCUUCCCCCAAGACACCCACCCCCGUGUCCAGCCAGAGGGGCCACACCCCGAGCAAGGACCACACUUUGCCAAGCUCUGGCCUGGGGCCUGAGGGCUCUGGGGAAAGCCUGAGGCCUGGGGAACCUUUAGAAACAGCUUGCUUUCCCAAAUGUGGCCCAUAGGGGCUAUGAGCCAGAGAUGGCUCUGUGCAGAUUUGGUAACGGUGCCCCUUUGUUCUGCUGAGACACAGCCCUAUGCCUGGCAUGAGGCUUGGUGAACGGAACAUGGACUGGAAGUCAGGCUCUACAUGCUGUCUGCAGGACUGUGCCUCGGGGCCCCGUUCUGCCUUGGGCUGACUGGAGGAAGGGAGGAACUGCCACAUCUGUGCUGCAGCCAAACCCUGAGCUCUGAGGGUCCCAGGCAAGGUGCCAUAUAAAAGCUCGUUCAGCUCUGUGUGCACGUUUCUGUGUGGGUGGAUGUGCAGGUGUAUAUGUGUGUAGGCAUAAACUGGAACUACCGGUUCCUCUGGCUGAUUUUGAGGAAGGAUGGAGAGGUCCUUGCAUGCUGGAGCCUUUACCUGAGGGUGUCUGAUGCCUGGCCCACCUGCUCCCCACCAUUUUUCUUGGUCUUCUUGGGGUGCUGAGGGCAACAUCACCACAGGACGGGGACACAGUGCCAGCAGCCAGGCUCCCAGCUCUUGUUUUUAUCACAGGUUACUUUUGCCUACAGUUGCAUUUACAGUCUGGACUCAGGAUGGCAGAGAACAAACUGGCCUGAGUAGCCACUCAUGAGGUCAUCUCUUCUCCCAGAGGUUUCACCUCCUCGGUGAAAUGGGAGGGAGGAAGGGGCCCGGCUCUCCUGCUGGGGUCCCUGUCCACCCCCAGCCAGGGCCGGCUGUACCCACUCACACGGCCGCAGCAGACUGAAAAGGGCUGAGCCUGGUCCUGCCAUUCAUAGAGACCUGCCUUCUUUAGAGAGAAGCUGGGGCAACUCUCGGGAGUGCUGGACAGCAGCCCUGUUUGGGUACUAGCAGCCUGCACCUGGGCCAGCAUCAGUACCCGGGCCCCAUGAGGGCAGCCUCAGGAGCACCAGUCUGCCGCCUGUGAGAUGAACCAGCUGAAGCGAAGAAACCUGGCGAAGCUCUCUCUGCUAGCAAGAGUCAGAGGCAGUCCUGGAACUCUGACAGUCCGGCCCCGGAGCUCCGUGUCCUACCCACCAUGCCCAGCUGCCUCCCUUCAUGAGCAGGUAGCCCGUAUCUGUUUGGAGUGAACGGUUUUCAGAGUGCUUUCAUGUACCCACCCACUCCCACUGUUAUGCCCCAGAGCAUGCUGCCAUCCUCCUGUUGUUGGGAGCAGUUCUGUGCAUGCAUUUGCCUUCCCUGCAGAGCUGCCAGAUGCCUGAGGCAGGGGCUGCUGGAACCUCAGAAGCAAACAAGGGCCUGGCGCAUGGUAAUGCCUCUUGAGGAAUGAAUAAACCUGAUGAGCCAGUGCCA